rnacentral:rRNA from 1 species
CUGUCGUCAGCUCGUGCCGUGAGGUGUUGGGUUAAGUCMCKCNAACGAGCGCAACCCCCGGGGCCAGUUACUGUGUCUGGCCCGACUGCGGCGACAAACGCCGAGGAAGGUGGGGAUGACGUCAAGUCAGCACGGCUCUGACGCCCUGGGCGACACACACGCUACAAUGGGCGCGACAACGGGAUGCGCAAGCCGCNAAGGCGGAGCCAAUCCCANACAAAGGCNGCCCUCAGUUCAGAUCGGNCGUCUGCAACCCGACGCCGUGAAGGCGGAGUUGCUAGUAACCGCGA